rnacentral:lncRNA from 1 species
CUUGCUUUUAGUCUCUUAACAACCUUGCUCUCCCUUCCCAAACUCUGUGGCAGUCCAUCCUCAGAUCAAGGUCCUGCCACUGCUCUGGAAACCUGCUAGGAACCCUUGCUCAGAACAAAUCUUCUUUGUAGGCUUACAUGCUGGUUCCUAUGUUGUUUCCUGUGAUACCAGUGGAGGUCAAGACUCAAUCCAUUUGUUUUUCCCUCUAUCCUGUGUUUUUACGUUCUUCAGCUUUCAAGAGUUCAGCUCUCAUAUACUAAAGGUGGAACAUCUUGACCUAUAUCUUUCUUUAGCUUCAAUUUAGUCAAUCCUCUUCCUUCUUUCAUCCUUUAAAAGAGUAAUCUAUACUUUCUAUCUAUUCUCCCUAACUUCCUCUAUGUGCUAGUAGUAUUUGGCUUUCAACUAUACUCACCUACUGAGUGAGUGUGAGGCUACUAGUUUCUCCUUAAUUGCCUAAGCCAAUGGCUAUUCCUUUUUUUUUUUUUUUUUUAAGAGAUCGGCUCCUGAGCUAACAUCUGUUGCCAAUCUUUUUUUUUCUUCCUUCUUCUUCCCAAAGCCCCCCCAGUACAUAGUUGUAUAUCCUAGUCGUAGGCCCUUCUGGUUCUGCUAUGUGGGAUGCUGCCCCAGCAUGCCCCGAUGUGUGGUGCCAUGUCCUCACCCAGAAUCCAAACUGGCAACCUCCUGGGCUACUCAAGCAGAGUGCGUGAACUCAACCACCCAGCCAUGGGGUUGGCCCCACCAGUGGCUCUUCCUUUAGCCUUUAUACAUAGUUCAAUCCCUCUUUCUGAAAGUCUUUACUACCUUGACUUUAUAACUCUUCAGUCUGCUAGUUCUCUUCAUUUCUCAGCACUUCAAUGUCUCCACUUUAUCCCUUUGUUCCUUAAAUCUCUGUGUUACAUUUUUCAUUUCAUUCAGUGUAUUCUUCAGCUCUAGAAUUUCUGUUUGGUUCUUUUUUAUGAUUUUUAUCUCUUUGUGUGACUUCUCAAAAAUGUAUUAUUUUCCUGAUUUCAUUGAGUUUCUAUCUGUAUUCUCUUGUAGCUUGCAGAGCUUACUUAAAACAACUAUUUUGAAUUCUUUGUCAGGCAAUUGUUAGAUCUCCAUUUCUUUGGGAUUUGUUACUGGAAAAUUAUUGUGUUUCUUUGGUGGUGUCUUGUUUCCAUGAUUUUUUCAUGUUCCUGGAAGCCUUGCGUUACUGUCUUUGCAUUUGAAGAACAGUCGUCUUCUCCAGUCUUUACUGACUGGCUUAGGAGAGAAAUACCUACCCAAGUCAGUCCAGCU